rnacentral:lncRNA from 10 species
ACUUGCAUGGGAAGGACAGCCAGGGAACACGGAAAAGGAGCUGUCAAAGAAAUCUUAUGAAGCAAGCUGCCUACAGAAAUGUCCAUGUGUCAGGAAACUGAAGCUGGCUCAUGGUCAGCAGCCAGCAAGCUACAAAGGGCUUCCAACAGCCCAUGAAGCACUGAGUCCUGCCAAAAGCCACGUGCAUGAGCUUAGAAGAGCUUCAUCCUCCAGGUAA